rnacentral:rRNA from 1 species
GACGAACGUUGGCGGCGUGCCUAACACAUGCAAGUCGAACGGAGAUACGAUUUCGGUUGUAUCUUAGUGGCGAACGGGUGAGUAACGCGUGAGCAACCUGACUCUUAGAGGGGGAUAACACCCGGAAACGAGUGCUAAUACCGCAUAAGACCACGACAUGGCAUCAUGACGAGGUCAAAGGAGCAAUCCGCUGAGAGAGGGGCUCGCGUCCCAUUAGAUAGAUGGCGGGGUAACGGCCCACCAUGUCAGCGAUGGGUAGUCGAGCUGAGAGGCUGAUCGGUCACACUGGAACUGAGACACGGUCCAGACUCCUACGGGAGGCAGCAGUGGGGAAUAUUGGGCAAUGGGCGCAAGCCUGACCCAGCAACGCCGCGUGAGGGAAGAAGGCUUUCGGGUUGUAAACCUCUGUCCUUGGUGACGAAAAAAAUGACGGUAGCCAAGGAGGAAGCCCCGGCUAACUACGUG